rnacentral:rRNA from 1 species
GGCUAGCGUUGUUCGGAUUUACUGGGCGUAAAGCGCACGUAGGCGGAUCUUUAAGUCAGAGGGGAAAUCCCAAGGCUCAACCUUGGAACUGCCUUUGAUACUGGGGAUCUUGAGUCCGGGAGAGGUGAGUGGAACUGCGAGUGUAGAGGUGAAAUUCGUAGAUAUUCGCAAGAACACCAGUGGCGAAGGCGGCUCACUGGCCCGGUACUGACGCUGAGGUGCGAAAGCGUGGGGAGCAAACAGG